CAGAGAGCAAGCCCAUCACCUCUCGCACAACUUCCCACAGAAGCCCUCCUAGCUUCCAGCUCCGCCAUGCUCUGUGAUUCCUUCUCUCAGGUUCCUGAGCAGAAGUGAAAAUUAGGUUUGAUGACAAGGCUUGGAAAAGGGAGAAGAGCUGGGGAGAAAUACAGUCAUAAUAAAGGAACCCAUUUGACUUCACUGAAGUUUUGGCUUAUGUAGAGAAUGGUUAGGAUUGUUUUGGAAUCCUAAAGAUCUACUUUCAAACUUUGACCCUGCUGCUUAUCUGUGUGAAUUUGGAUUUUCACAAAGAAAAAAUGCCCCAAGGAGCUUUGCUGUAUAAUUAGGGUUGUUGGAGGAUUGAAUUAACCUAAGCAGAGUCUUGAGAACAUAGCAUAUACAGCAUGUAUUCAGCAAGUGUAAGCUGGUAUAAUACAAUGUGCAGCUGCCAAAGGUCAUCUGACAUAAUAGCUGAUGAAUUCAAGCCCAGUGGAUUUCAUUUGCAAUUUUCAAUUUACUGAGGCCUCCAAACCCCACGGUGAUAAAAGCUUCCCCUAUCGUGGCCUGUCACAAACAUCAAGAAACUGAACAAACCCACAAGAAAGAAAAAAGAGAAAGCUGUGCAUCCUCGCAGGUACAGAUAAGGAGAACAGGAAGAAAUGGUAUCAUGCAGGAAGGUACGGAGCAGCUUGUGUGGCUAGUUCUCUAAAUGCCAAUUGAAAGGAAAAGACUAUGA